AUGCUCCGUCGUUCUGCCGUGGAGGAGAAAAGGAAGCAGUGCAUGGAGGAGGAAAAGGAGCGUCUCGAGGCCCUGAUGCGACGUUCUAUCGAGCGGAACCUGCUGGCGGACCAAAGGCCCAAACGCUGGACCUGGGGCGGACCUCCAGGAGUCUGCGAGGGUGAGUGUGUGUGUGCUUGCGAGGGCGUGGAGGGUCCCUUGUGUGAACUCCUCUCAGGGCUGUGGGGAGCAGGAAUGGAUGGAGAGAUAGGAAAACAGGGUGUGGGAACUGCACUGCAGCCCUUUUGUUUUAAAACCAACUGGGAUAUUGACUAAUACAGCAGCUGUGGGAUGAAAUGCAGCUGUUUUAUGAGGGAGCUGCAGUGUCACUCUGAGACAUCGAGCUGUUUUUGAUCUCAAGGUAUCGCCCCAGUCGCAUGAAAACACUCUGUCUCAGAGUGUCAGCGACCGAUCACGGACUCGUAGGCAUUAUAAAUCAUCUGUGCAAUAGCUGCCUGGGGGCAAGAGGCAAUUUGGGCUGUUUUAGCUAGAGAACAAACACGUAAACUGUGCUGUCACUGUGAAUGUACAGGGUAUAUUAGACUACACAGCUGAAGGCUUUUUGCUCUGUCACUGCCUUGUUCUGACUUUAAAUAAUGCCUUUUUUCCCUGAACAUUUCAAUUACACAAGCCUACGCUGAAACUGUUUAUUGGAUUAUGUUUUACAAAUGCUAUUUCAGUCUUCAGUCUACUUCAAAGUCUUAUGCUCAGUAUAAUGUUUUUUUUACUUGAUGUUUCUUUGAUAUGGUGAAAUUUACUAGUGAUUUCUGAGUUAAAAUUGUUUUACACCAACUCCUAUACCAACACUGGAAAAUAAUGCUGCUUUCAAGACAGAUGUGAAAGCACCACCCUGAAUCUGUGGUGCAUUCAUAACUACAUGAAUUAUUUACACUGUUCAAGAGCAGAGCCUUAAGCCUGGUCCUGAGUCAGUCUGAUAAUAUAUCUAGACAACUUGCAUGUAGCGUCUGUUUUGCUUUGUGG
ensembl:lncRNA